UAACUGAUAGGUUCAAUGAACUAUCAUCUAUUGCAAAUAAUGAUUUGUUAUCUCUUUCUUGGGUUAGUAAGCUUCUUGACACAUUCCUUUGUUGCCAAGAGGAAUUCAAGAUGAUUCUACACAACAAUAGAUCAAUGGUUUGUAAACCUCCGUUGGAUCGAUUGGUGAAUGAUUUUUAUGAGAGGAGUGUCAAGGCAUUGGAUGUAUGCAAUGCUAUUAGAGACGGUGUUGAACAAAUUCGACAAUGGGAAAAAUCGUUAGAGAUUGUUCUUUGUGCAUUGGAUCAUAAAAGAAUCAUUGGGGAAGGCCAAUUUCGUCGCGCUAAGAAAGCUCUUGUUGAUUUAGAAAUUGGUANNNNNNNNNNNNNNNNNNNNNNNNNNNNNNNNNNNNNNNNNNNNNNNNNNNNNNNNNNNNNNNNNNNNNNNNNNNNNNNNNNNNNNNNNNNNNNNNNNNNNNNNNNNNNNNNNNNNNNNNNNNNNNNNNNNNNNNNNNNNNNNNNNNNNNNNNNNNNNNNNNNNNNNNNNNNNNNNNNNNNNNNNNNNNNNNNNNNNNNNNNNNNNNNNNNNNNNNNNNNNNNNNNNNNNNNNNNNNNNNNNNNNNNNNNNNNNNNNNNNNNNNNNNNNNNNNNNNNNNNNNNNNNNNNNNNNNNNNNNNNNNNNNNNNNNNNNNNNNNNNNNNNNNNNNNNNNNNNNNNNNNNNNNNNNNNNNNNNNNNNNNNNNNNNNNNNNNNNNNNNNNNNNNNNNNNNNNNNNNNNNNNNNNNNNNNNNNNNNNNNNNNNNNNNNNNNNNNNNNNNNNNNNNNNNNNNNNNNNNNNNNNNNNNNNNNNNNNNNNNNNNNNNNNNNNNNNNNNNNNNNNNNNNNNNNNNNNNNNNNNNNNNNNNNNNNNNNNNNNNNNNNNNNNNNNNNNNNNNNNNNNNNNNNNNNNNNNNNNNNNNNNNNNNNNNNNNNNNNNNNNNNNNNNNNNNNNNNNNNNNNNNNNNNNNNNNNNNNNNNNNNNNNNNNNNNNNNNNNNNNNNNNNNNNNNNNNNNNNNNNNNNNNNNNNNNNNNNNNNNNNNNNNNNNNNNNNNNNNNNNNNNNNNNNNNNNNNNNNNNNNNNNNNNNNNNNNNNNNNNNNNNNNNNNNNNNNNNNNNNNNNNNNNNNNNNNNNNNNNNNNNNNNNNNNNNNNNNNNNNNNNNNNNNNNNNNNNNNNNNNNNNNNNNNNNNNNNNNNNNNNNNNNNNNNNNNNNNNNNNNNNNNNNNNNNNNNNNNNNNNNNNNNNNNNNNNNNNNNNNNNNNNNNNNNNNNNNNNNNNNNNNNNNNNNNNNNNNNNNNNNNNNNNNNNNNNNNNNNNNNNNNNNNNNNNNNNNNNNNNNNNNNNNNNNNNNNNNNNNNNNNNNNNNNNNNNNNNNNNNNNNNNNNNNNNNNNNNNNNNNNNNNNNNNNNNNNNNNNNNNNNNNNNNNNNNNNNNNNNNNNNNNNNNNNNNNNNNNNNNNNNNNNNNNNNNNNNNNNNNNNNNNNNNNNNNNNNNNNNNNNNNNNNNNNNNNNNNNNNNNNNNNNNNNNNNNNNNNNNNNNNNNNNNNNNNNNNNNNNNNNNNNNNNNNNNNNNNNNNNNNNNNNNNNNNNNNNNNNNNNNNNNNNNNNNNNNNNNNNNNNNNNNNNNNNNNNNNNNNNNNNNNNNNNNNNNNNNNNNNNNNNNNNNNNNNNNNNNNNNNNNNNNNNNNNNNNNNNNNNNNNNNNNNNNNNNNNNNGAAAUAAACUUGUUUUCAAAAAAUUUAAUUAUGAUUUUCGAAGAUUUAAUUUUUGUAAUUUUCAAAAAUUAAUUUCCAUAUUUUUUUAGAAUUUUUUUAUUUCGAAAAAAAUGUAAAACCUUACCUGAAGGUGAAAUCGAGAAUUCUUCAAAGUUUCGGAAAAUCAUAAUUAAAUUUGAAAAUUACAAAAAUUAAAUCUUCGAAAAUCAUAAUUAAAUUUUUUGAAAACAAGUUUAUUUCAAAAAGUUUAUUUAUAUUUUUUAAAAUUUUGGAAAAUUAAUUUCCAUAUUUUUAAAUUUAUUUUUUAUUUUUAUAUGUUUAUUUUAAUUUCAAAAUAUAUAUUUUUUUUUUAAAGUGGUUUUAAAAUAAUAAAAUUACAAAAUCUAAUGGUGAGGGAGUAUGGUAAGGAUAUGUUCUUGGUUUGAUCUAAUGGUUAAAAACUAACUUGCUCAUGGUGGGAAAAAUUAGCCUUUCCCAUGUUAAACUUCACCCAUUUGUUAAUAUGAUGUAAAGAAAAUGAAGUAGAUGUACAAUUGAAAAAUUGAAGAAAUAAAGUCAAGUUAUUCUAGUGUUUGGCCUUGACUUGGUCUUGCACCGCAUAAGAUAUAGUCAAAUUUGACUUUCUUUUUUGAAACCUAUUCAUUUACUUACAACGCCAAUAUAUGAAUUUGAGAUUUGGUCAACGUUUAAAUUUUUAGUAGCAUUAGCGACUAAAAUAAUACUCCUUCAUGUCGUAUUUACAAGAAACAUUUAACUUUUUUGAUUCAUUGCAUAAAAGAUGUAUUUGAUCUAUAUUCUAUACCAAGUACAUUAAUUACUCAAUGAAUCUGAAAAAGUCAACUUUUACUUAUAAAUAAGAUCGGAGGGAGUAUUCGCUUUGGGUUAAAUUAAGUUGUGUCUUAUAUUUUGAAAAUGAGCUCGAUUAAAGUGGUGAAUCUAUAUUGAUUUUUUUUUUUUUUAUUAUCCUUAUCAAUUGAGUUAAACUUAGAAGAACUUUUAUAUUGAUUUCAUUUAAUUAUUAAAUAAAUGUUGAAAAUAGUGUUAAAAAGAUAGUAUCUUUGAAAUUACUUUUUUAAGUAAAUAAACUUAAGGUUAUGCUAAUAAGUGUCAUAAGAGCACUUGUUAAAGAAAUCAAAAGUAAAUGCAUCACUUAUCUUUAUUUUCCAAUACAAUAUUUAUAUUUUUAUCCUCUUAAUCAAUGUUCUAAGAACGCUCUUUAACAUUUCUCAUAAACUUAUAACACAUCAUUAUAAAUCAAAUCCAUUAUAAAUAAUAAACUCCAAGAUAAUAGAUGGUGAAAUUUUUUUUUUCUGACCCUCUUUGCAAAAAAAAUACCAUGUCUGACCCCUAUGAAAAUUAUUCAUCAAAAUGACCCUUUUUUUUUGUCCUUUUCCUCAUUCCCGCCAUUUGAAACGGCGGGAAUGAGCCGCACAUUGUCACAUCGUGAAUGGCCAGCUUUUUUUUUUUGUACAUUAUAAAUACAUAUUAAUUUAUUUGAGAAAAAAUUUCAAUUUUGCUCCCAGGGGGAGUCGAACCAGGCGCAUAUGGGACAUUGUCAUUGUGUUGUCACUAAGCCAAUGUACAUUUGAUGUUAAAUUGCGCAUCUAAUAAUAUAUAUACUCUUUUUAAAACCAGUUUCACACACCACAAACCAUCCAGUUUUUCAUUUUUGUUUUUUUUAUUGGAUAAUUUAGGAUCUCCGACGAAUAUAUAUAAGUGAAAAAUUAUCCGACAAAUUUUUUUUUUCACCAAUAAAUUAUAUAUAUAUAUAUAUAUAUAUAUAUAUAUAUAUAUAUAUAUAUUAUUAUCCGACGAAAUGAUAUAUAUAUUAUUUCAAGAUAUAUAUAUUCAAAAUAACACAGAAUAGCAAUGACCCAUAUGCGCCUGGUUCGACUCCCCCUAGGAGCAAAAUUGAAAUUUUUUUUCAAAUAAAUUAAUAUGUAUUUAUAAUGUACAAAUGUUGCCCAAAUAAGCAAAAAACGAAAAAAAAAAAUUGGUCUCGCCAUUUCAAAUGGCGGUAAUGACAAAAAAAAAUUAAAAAAACAAUAGCUGGCCAGUCACGAUGUGACACAUGUCAGAACGGUGGCUCAUUUCCGCCGUUUCAAAUGGCGGGAAUGAGGAAAAGGAAAAAAAAAAAAAAAAAGAAUCAUUUUAGUGAAUAAUUUUCAUAGGGGGUCAGACAUGGUAUUUGUUUUGCAAAGAGGGUCAGAAAAAAAAAAAUUCAUAGAUGGUAACAUCGAUGAAAAUAUGAAAAUUAACUAAAAAUUUGACCUCUCGCUUAAGAAUAUGAGCUACAUAAAAUUUAAUAACAAUUAGUAUUUGAUUUCAUAUCAAGAUUAAAUUUAAGUGCAAGCAAAAUAAGCUCGUAUAGGCGAUGAAAGAAUUUAUCUAUUUUAAACGUAGGUGGACUUUAAUAUAAAUAUAUAACAAAUACGAUAUUAAUAUCUAGUGUCAUAUACUUGAGAUGCAUAGGUAGAAAAUUUAACUUUUUAUAACAAGAUGUGUCAAGAGAAUGUAUUACUUUUUUCUUCGAUUUUAACUCUUUAAUAAGACAUUAGCAAUUUCCCUUUUCAACGUUUGAAAUAAUUGCUUUCAUUUCAGCAAUCAUGUUUGUUUUGCUCAGAAAAAGGAACAACUUAUGAAUUUUAUCAACUUAUGAAUGCUAGUAACACUCACUUUUCAGCACUCUCUCUAACAUUCAUUUUUUCAUUGGAUAAAAUAAAUGUAUGUCACAUCAUUUUAUGUGGAUUCAAUUUGCAAAAUGUAAACCUAUAAAGAUUUAAACCAAUAAAAGAGUGAAUAUUGAAGAGAGAAUUUAAAAGAGAGUGUCGUUAGCAUUACUUAGCAUUCAAACUAAUGGUUAUAUCAUUUCCCUUCGUGAUUGUAACUAUGCGAUAUCCUAUAUAAAAUUUUUUGACAUUAUGAUUUUAACAAGCUUCCUUUUCCACUAUUGAUAUAGAAAAUUGCAAGGAAUAGGUUGCCUGAGAUCUUAAACACAUGGAGGAUAUUUUUGUCAUCAUAAAAAACGAAGAUAUUUUUGAACUAAAGUGGAUUUUAGAACAAUGUCUCUAUAACUUUGAUGAUAGUAAUGUAUGUAAGGAAAAUUGGGUACUUUAGUUUUUGUUUAAGUGUGCAGCACCAUAUAAUUAAAUUAUGAAUCUAAUGUCAACAUUCUAGCUCUGAAUCAUUGUGGUCUGAAUGAAUAAGAACAUUUUUGUUACUGAAGAUAAGCUCUGGUGACAAGACUUUAAUGGUCAACAUAAGUCAAAGAUAUAAUAAGUAUGCAUCAAGAUAAACUUUAAUCUAAUGACAAGUUCUGAAGGAUGAAGUCAACGGUCAACACUUUGGAGAAUAUCUUACCAGUUUUAUCUUCUGAUGAUGAUACAUCAUUGUGCAAGCUGUGCAGUACGUUUUGUCCUUGUGUUAGCCUGUAAUUUCGACAGAUUCAAUUAAUGCAGUAAAUGAGAGUUGACUUUUGUUCUUUCAACAAUUAAAUAUGUUAUCUUUAACAUAGAGAUUUCAACAUGGUCUCGGACUUAGCAUUUGGAAGAGUUCAAGAGCUUUGAAGUUCGACAAGAGGUAAUUUAGAGAAAGAAUGGUUGAAGCCAAGCAGUUGCUGUCGAAAUGAAAAGAAUUCAAAUUCGAAAGCAACAAUUUAUUAUUAAGACGUGGGGGACAGGCAGUUUCUAGUUGAGUAAAUGCAGCUCGUGGCAGUUUAGUUUUGGCAGUUAUUUUCACUAUGUAUAAAUAAUAGUUUUUCAUAGGAAAAACGAAUAGCAAAUCAUUUAUAGAAUUCUAGCACUCGAAGUACCGACGUCUAGAGAAAAGAGUCAUACAGAAUGUAUGUAAACUGAUUUGUCGAACCACCUUUACGUUUAAAUACAAUGCAAUUAACAUUUCUUUAAGUUUAUGCGUUUGAACUCUUAGGUCUUUUUACUUCUUUUUCGUCGAAAGAUGAUUGCUUUCAUACAAAAAAAAUGUUGUAUUCAUAAAGCAACCUAUGAAUAUGAUGAACGCUCAGGUAUUUUCUGAAAAAAGAUUGCACAACAGGUCCUAAGAUUUCUGGUUUGAUUCUGCUUGUAAUAAUCAAAACUAGCCCUGUAGUUUACCAAAAUCACCGGUAAACACCUUGCUGAAUUAAAUGAAGAGCACAUUAUAGAAAAAUACAAAGCUCUUACAUGACAAAGAGAAUGCAACAGAUAAUUCUAAAAGAAACAAGUAAAUUUUGAAGUAUUGUUUAUCCAUUGGAGAAAAAGUUUUCAAACAUGAAAAAAGUUAUUGAUGCGCAGACAAUAUCUUUAAUAAACGACUCUAUUUAUUUAUCCUUUAAAAGGAACUUGAGCAUUUGAACAAGUUACAAGAACCAAACACUUUCAAAAUACUAGAAAUCUGAUUAAAUUUCAAGCACAUAAACACUUUAAAAAAUUAUUACAUAUCUUUGAUCUUACAAUUUCUUAAGUGUUUAGAAAUCAUCUGAGCUUAAUUUAGUUUACCACUAUUUGAGUCUGAAGUGUAAACAAUAAUCAAUCUUUUUGUAAACUCUGAUUGUAGAAGUCCUUAAGGACAGGCGGAAAAUAUUAGACUUAUGUGUCCAUGUAAAUUGUAAUCUCAUGUGAUUAUAGUGGAAAAUUCUCUUAAGUGGGGGGAGACCGGACGUUAUUCCGAAUUUUGGGGUGAACGAGGAUAAAAAUAAGUGUGCAAAUGGAGAAAGUUUGAAGCAAGAGAAAAUAAAAUAGUGCUCAUUUAGAAAAUACCUUAAAAGAUAAGGACAAAUAAAGAAAGAUAGUAUGAAUUGACUGAGGUCCAAUGAUGUUGAAAGAUAUAUCAAUUUAGAAUGAGCAAUAUCGAUAAAGAUUUCUCUAUUAAUUUUUUAAAAUAAUUUUAGAUUGUCGCUUCUAGCUUAUUUUGGAUUUAAAAGACAAUUUAGUGAAUCAUUAUUUAGAUUGAUUUUUUGUUUUAAGUUAUCUUUGAAGAGUAAGAUAUAUUUAUUUUAGUUUUAUUUUAAAUCCAUGAUUCAACGUGUCUUUUAAGUUCAAACAUUAUUAAAGUCAACUCAGUUAUGACUUAUGACAAACUAUAAUCGUUUAAUGGUUUGAAAACUCUAAGUUUAUUUUUCCCACAUUAUAAGGAAAUUUUGAGACAUAAAUUGUUAAGUUUCUUUGAGGAUAUUGAUUUUGGGAAGAGAUAUCCUAGUAUAACAAAAUUGAAUGAGGAAGAACUGGUUAUAAUCUAAUUCAUAUAGUUACUAUUAUUAUAGUAUAUUUAGAUCCUCAUCAGGACAUUAUUGUUCUUCUUCUCAUUCAAGUUAAGAAAUCAAUUCAUAAGGAUCAAACUCAACACUCUCAAGAACAAGGGCAUAUGGUGUUGAUGACAGUCUGAAUUACGUAAUUUUAUAUGUAUUUUUAUGAUAUUUUUGAGUUCACAAGCAAGCUUAAGCAGCAAGAAAAGCAAGAAAAAUAGAAGAUUUUGAAGAAACAGUUGUGUUGAUGUAUUUAUUGAGUAUGGAGCAUUUUUAGACAGCCUAAAGGUGCAAAAAGCAAGAAAUUACAAAAAGUUAGAGUUUGCCACUGCCACUAAAAUCGUGACACGUUUUCAACAAUCGUGACACGGUUGCAAUAGCGUGUCACGUUUUCAAAAAUCGUGACACGUUUUUGACACCACCAGAUUGGGAAAAUUGCCUAUUUAAGCUGAAGCCAGUUUCUAAAACAAGGGUUACGAAUUGAAAAGAGCAAAGUACGAUUUUGAGACCUAAAGAAGGCUAGGAGGGCGAUUUCUUCAACCUUCUAUCAGUUCAUGUAUGUUUUAAUUCCAUUAUUGAUUAUGCUAUUUGUAAACUCAAUUAUGAGUAGCUAAAUCUCUUAGAGAUUAGGUCUGAGAUGAUUCUUCGCAACCCUAAUUGAACCAUGUUGUUGUGAAACUCUAUUUAUUGUAAAUGACAAUCUAGUUUUUAUUGAAUUUAAUUGUUCUUGAUCCUUUUUAUAUAUUGACACCAUAUAAACAUGAUUUCGUGAGAAUGAAUGACUACUGGCCAUAACUUUCGACUUAGACCUAAUUGAAUUGUUCUAAUAAUCAUGGUUAGUCUAGGAAUAGAUAAUCGUUUAUUAGUGAUAUUAGGUUAACGUACUUAAAAAAUUCAAAGAUUAUUAGACCACCUAAGGAAUUAGGGGUUGUAGUUUGAGAAGAGGGUCAUAACUCAAGGGAUUGAUUAGGACUAUUUUGUUAACUAUCGUGGAACUAGAGAAUCAUUCAUAAGAAUAGGUGAAGUAUACCAAUUAGGGGAACAUAGAUGAUUUGAAAGACCUGAUCUCAUCUCUCUCUCCUUAUCUUUUCCAAAACUAUUUUUAUUUUCUGUUUAUUUAAUUUUCUGCAAUCAAAACUACUGCCUCAGGCAAAUAAAUAAUUUAAACAUCCUAGAUAUUAAUCUUAUUGCUAAAUUGAGAUUAACACAACCCAUGUGGAUACGAACUUAUAAAUUUUAUUACUUCGAUAGUUUUAGUACACUUGCUAAAAAUUCUAUCAGGUGUCAUAAAGUUGGGAGUCUUGUUCUCCUCUCAAGUGAAAGUUUUUUUCCUGGUAGUUGCUUCAGGAUAGGAUUCCAACCCGUAAGAAUCUCUUUUCUAGGAGGAUUAUAGUCGACCCUAAUUUCUUGUGUUUUUUGUAUUUAGUAUGUUGUCAACUAAUCACUUUUUUGUUAGAUGUCCUUUUUUAAGUCAGGUUUGGUAUCUUGUGUUUAAGUGGUUGGGGUGAGAAUUUGUUUUACCUUCAGAUUUACCGAUUACUCUUAGUCUUCUGUUAGACUUAGCUGGGGGAAAAAAGAGGUUAAGCUUCUUAUUAAUCUGGAAAUCUGUUGUGCGGUCCUUGUGGACAUCUCGAGAUGCUCACAUCUUUUUUAGGAAACAGACGUAUGUUCUUCAGUUAGUGGAUAUGGUUAAAUUCACUUCUAGGAAAUGGUUUAUAGAAAUACAUUUUUGUCACACAUGUUCCUUCUAAGAGAGGGAUCAUGAACUCAUUCUGUGUUGGCACCAAUAGUGUCAUGUGCUGGAUUUGUUUCGGGUUGAUUGACUGUGGAGUUUUCUCCUAGUUAUGUUCUUGAUUUAACCUGGGUUGGGUCGAUUAUGAUAGGAGCCUAGUUGAUUUUUUGAUGUUAUUUCAGUUUUCGCUUCUGUUUUAUUGUGGGAGAGUUUCUUUGUCUUUGUUAUUGCUUGGCUUGAGUACUUCUUGUACUCAUGAUCUGUAAUUGUUUAUACUCUUACAUGAGUUUUUUUUCCUACACAUUUAUUUAUUUAUAUAUAUUUAUUUGCCAUUAAAAAAAACAUGCAUUUGAAAAUAACAUAUAUAAUCAGAUUGUUUGGCAUAUACUUCAGCAAUUCAAAAUUGGAAUUGUUGAAAAGGCAACCAUAAGGAUUUUUAAAGAGAACAAAAGAGUUUAUGCUCAUAUCAGAGAUCUGACAAUUUGAAUAUCAUUAUUGUGUUAGACUCUGACUUUCGGAUAUAUGUGUAUAUAAUACACAUCCUAACUCAGGAAACAACUGUAAGUAUUUAUGUCACUUGAUUGCGUAUAGUAAAAAGAUAUUGAAAGACCAUUUAAGUUAUAUAGUGACAUAAGUUAGUCAUAUAUUGCUUCAACAAUAAAAUUGAUAAGGUCCAUUACCUUAUAAAUUAUUGUUGUUAAAUGACAGAACAUGUAGAGACAAUACGAUAGCUGACCCACUAAUCAAAGACUUGACACCUAAGGUCUUUCAUAUGGUUGUUUUCAUUAAGGAUGUCUUGGAAUACUGAGAGUCUCUUUUCUUUUAAGUUAUAUAUAUUUUUUUUGUUAUCGAUACAGACUUUAUGUUAUAAUUUUAUGCAGAAAUAAAGUUCAUUAGAUUUUAUUCGUAUAACCAUUUAUGUAUUAUUUGUGCAAAUAUUGAAUUUGCAAACUUCAUUUAAUCCCAUUAAAGUUUUUGUUGGACCCGUUGAAAAUAGACAUGCUUUAGAAAUCACAUUACAUGAAACUUGCAUGCAACUCUUCAGUAUCAAUUUAUGUCAUUAAGUGCAUUGAUAUGGUGGUUGUUGGGGUUUCGUCACGUUAUACAUCAGUGACGACAGCAACGGUGGUCAAAUUAUUAAUGUUUGAGGUGAAACAGAUUGUAAAGGAGAAAUAUAAAGAUAAAUAACAUCACCUAAAUAAUUUUGAUGUAAUUAUUAAGAUAUGUAGCCCAAGUGAGAGAUUGUUAAAAUAUUUUAUUAUUUCAUUAUAUUCCAAUGUCAUUGUUAGAACAUUUUUUUAUUUAAUUAUAUUCCAAUGUCAUUAUGUAGACAAAAAACUUUAUAAUAAUUAUAUUAGUUAUUUAUCAAUUUGGAGCCCUAAUUGAUUAAUGAUCAAAUUAAACAAUAAGACUAAUUAAAUUUCUAGUUAGAUAAUAAAUAAAUUAAGUAAUUAAUAUGGGCUCAAUAUGGAUAGAUGUCUAGAAGAUCCAUUAAAGAAAUAAUGGGAAACACUAGUUGGCCCUCACACAAUAAGACGAUAUGGUCUCCAAUAUCAUACACUGCACACUCUCUCUUCUCACCAUCUAAUGGAUAAAUGUAUCGGUUGAGGAAGAACCAAAUCAACCGUCACUAAUCCUAAGUUGUGUGUUUCAGAUCACUGCAUCUCAUUUUGUUUCAGAUCGUUGAUUUUAUUAAUAAGUUACAAAAGGUUUAUAUACAAGUAAGUAUUUCCAAUACUUAAUUCUUAGUAUCUUGAUAAAUCCAACAUGUUGCAUAUCCUAGUUUAUAUGCAUGCCCAUGUGUUUAUUUUGCAAAAGUUUUAAUCUUAUAGAGCCAUGCAUUGUUUUGAUGAUUUAUUAAUUUUGUUUUAUUAAAUCUUAUUUAGCAUAUUGCUUUUGAUGAUUUAUUAAAUUAAUUCCAACAAUUUAUUUAUACACAAAAAAAUAUUAUAUAGUAAUAUAACCCUUAUUUUUCCUUUAUUGUAUAGAUAGAUUAGCUUCACCGAGUAGUACCCUCAACAACCUUAAUUUAGUUUUUUUUUUUUUUUUUUUAUAAUGGCAUGGCCCUCUUUGAGAUGGGACCCCUGUCUAGAAUGUCUCACUAAAUUCCAUCUCUUUCUAUGUUCCAUUUUCCAAAUCCAAAUAUCUUUCUUUACUUAUUUUUCCAAAUAUCUUUUUCUAAAUUCCAACUACUUUUUCCCACCGAGUUUCCGUACUCGUUAGUUAGACUUGUAGUAGUACUUAUUAUUUUUUAUUUCUUUUCCUUUUAUAUUAUCCAACAACCGUUAUUAAACGCGGUCCAAUCCUUCCCCAAUAAAACCAAUCAUUACUAUAACUCUUUUUCCAAAUUCACCUCUCUUCCUUCUUUGCUUUCUCAAAUUUGAGUCUUAAAUCACUUAUUCUAGAAAAUUCCUCUUUCAUAAUGCGUUUUGCAACAAGAUAUAAAGGUUCUUCAAUUGUGAAUCUACGUGCCACCCAAGUCCACUCUAUGGAAUAUUCAAGCAUAGAUAAAGAGCUUAAUUUGUUUCAAAAACAUGUAUCUGAUAGGUUCAAUGAACUAUCAUCUAUUUCAAAUGAUAAUUUGUUAUCUCUUUCUUGGGUUAGUAAGCUUCUUGACACAUUCCUUUGUUGCCAAGAGGAAUUCAAGAUGAUUCUACACAACAAUAGAUCAAUGGUUUGUAAACCUCCGUUGGAUCGAUUGGUGAAUGAUUUUUAUGAGAGGAGUGUCAAGGCAUUGGAUGUAUGCAAUGCUAUUAGAGACGGUGUUGAACAAAUUCGACAAUGGGAAAAAUCGUUAGAGAUUGUUCUUUGUGCAUUGGAUCAUAAAAGAAUCAUUGGGGAAGGCCAAUUUCGUCGCGCUAAGAAAGCUCUUGUUGAUUUAGAAAUUGGUAAGAUUGAUGCUAGUAGUAAAGAUUCUAAUAAUGUUUCUUCCUUUGGUAAUAGAAAUAGAUCAUUUGGUAGAAACAUUGUUAGUAAAGAUAAAGAUUCAUCACAAGUUGGUCAUUUUAGAUCACUUUCUUGGAGUGUAUCAAGGAAUUGGUCAGCUGCAAAACAACUACAAGCACUAGGGACCAAUCUUUGUUUUCCAAAGAGUAAUGAACUUGUUGCUACAAAUGGUCUUGCAUUGGCUAUUUAUACAAUGAGUUCAAUUUUGUUGUUUACAAUGUGGUCACUUGUGGCUGCAAUUCCUUGUCAAGAAAGGGGCUUACAUCUCAACUUUUCGGUUCCACGGCAGCUUCCAUGGGCGUCUCCAAUGAUGUCAUUGCACGAGCGGAUUUUGGAGAAGUCGAAGAAGAGGGAGAGGAAGAAUUGUUGCGGACUUUUGAAGGAGAUUCAGGAGAUUGAGAAGUGUGCUAGGGGGAUGAAUGAAUUGGCUGAUUCUUUGGAAUUUCCUUUGAGUGAAGAGAAAGAAGAGGAAGUUAGGGUUAAUGUUGAAGAUGUGGUGAAUGUUUGUGAAGGUUUGAAAGAUGGAUUGGAUCCUUUGGAAAGACAAGUUAGAGAAGUAUUUCAUAGAAUUGUUCGUGGUAGAAUGGAAGGGCUUGAUUCUGUUUCUUAAAAGUAAUUAAAACAUUAGAUUUAGAUGCCAUAAACUUGAUGGAACAACCAUAAAAGAUAUAGGUAUAUGUAAAAGGAUGGUUUUUUUUUUUUUUUUUAUUAUUCUUUUUUAUCCAUUUAACAUACAUAAAAUGUAUAGAGUUUGUAACCAAAAAAAAAAUGUGUAUAGAGUUUAGGUUUUGAAUUAGGCUUCGUGGUCUAUACUCUUUGAAUUAGAUUUUGAAUUAUAGCUAAUUCUGUUUAUUAAUAUACUAUAUAUCAUAUGCAUUAGUUUUCCUAAUUUAACAUGUCAAUUUUUAUUUUGUUUAGUCAACUAUAAUACAUAUGAGUUAUUUGAAACCAAUAAAAUCUCUAACAAAAGUUUAGCAAUGAAAGAUUUUGAGUAAAUCUCUUUAGUAUUAUGCAUUUUGAUAUUUAGAGAUUAUUCUAAAGAUAUCAUUCAGAUCACGCGAAAUAGUUAUAUCAAUAAAGUAGAAAAUAAAUUUACAUAAAAGAUAAUAAAUAAUGGAUAAUCUCAAUCAGCAUAAGAGACUAUUUAGUCUACAAUAAUGGCCAUUAGAAAAUUUAUAAAUUCUGGAAAUCAAAGAUUUUUCUAUGCUUCGGCUAUAGAAAUAUUGUGUGUAAAUAGGGAUGGCAAAGAGGACCGCCACACCGUCUAAACCUGCUUAAAAUAGGAUAAGACAAGUUGAGUCAAAUUAGGUGAUCGAGUCCAAAAUCUUACCCCACCUUAAUUAAUGGCGGACAAAUGAGUUGGCGGGCCGACCCGCCAAACAAAAAACUUUGUUUUUUACAGAGCAAAAAACAAUUUUAUUAAUGCAUAUUUUUUACAACUUAAUUGUUACAAAAGAAUUAUGUUGUUUUUAUCGUUAAAAAAAUAUAAAAGAAUAGACAUCGACCAAACUUAUGGUAAAAAUAAGAUAAUUAAAAAAUUAUCGAUCUCAACAUCAUACUUAAUAUCAAAAUAAGAAAAAUCCACAACAUAAAAUAAAUCCCCGUGCCCAUCCCGUUUUUCCAACAAGUCAAACUGGGCACACCACCUAUUGGAAACGAGUUCAAAAUUAUACUUGACCGCCGCCAACCCUAUGUUGUAUGUUUCUGACCACCUAAUCUCUCUUUGUUACGAAAGGUUAUAUCCAAUUAUUCAUAAUACCCAAUUUUUAAUAUCUUGAUAAAUUAAACAUGUCACAAAUCUUAAUUUAUAUUCAUGACCGUUUGUUUAUUUCACAAAAGUUUUAAUCUUUAUAGAAACAUGUAUUGUUUUUUAUGAUUUAUUAUUUAUUUUUUAUUACAACUCUAUAUACUACCUCCGUCCCUAAUUACAAAGCCCUUUUGAAAAAAUAACGGGAAUUAAGAUAGUGGAUAUUUGUAUUAAAUAUGUUUGUAAUGACUAUUGUUUUUACAAUUUUAUCCUUUAAGAAAGAGGGUUGACUUAUGUUUUCAACAUUCUAUUUAUUGCUUAUUGAAGAAAAAGAUGUAUAAUAAAUAGGGGCAUGUAUGUAAAGAAAUAAUUAACGUAGUUGGAAAUAGAAAAUGAGUUUUAUAAAAAGCGACAAAAAAUUUUCUCAAAAGGAUCUUAUAAUUAAGGACGGAGGUAGUAACAUUUUUGUUUUUGAAGGACGCUUUAUAUAGCAUGUAUUGUUUUUGAUUUGAUGAUUUAUUAAAUUAAAUUCCACAAUUUGUUUAUAGACAAAAAAAAUAUUACUCCCUCUGUUUCAAAAUGAACGUCGUUUAAGAUUUUUACACACAUAUUAAGAAAUGCAUUAAUUAAAAGAAAGAGAGAUGUUAUUUUACCAAAUUAUCUUAAUCAACUAUCGGUUUGUUUUUCAUUAAAGAAAAAAUACUUUGAAAGUAGUGUAUAUAGUAUUAAUUGAACGGUAAAAUUAAAAAAAAAAUAUAUUAUUAUUGUAUUGAAAACUGAACGUGACAUUUAUUUUAUUUUAAAACAAUUUUUAUUUUAUUUUUAAAAGGACACUUAUAUUAAAACAAAAGGAGUAUAUAACUCUUAUUUUUUCUUUCUUGUACCGAGUACCAUCAACAACUUUAAUUUAAUUAUUUUUUUAAGGAUGACUUGACCCUCUUUGUGAUGGGUACCCUGUCUAGAAUCUCACUAAAUUCCAUCUCUUUCUAAGUUCCGAUUUCCAAUUAUCUUUCUCUAAAUUCUAACUACUUUUUCCCACCUAGUUUCGGUACCCGUUAGUUCUACUUUUUACAACUACUUAUUUUUUUUAUUUCUUAUCUUUUUAAAUUAUCCAACAACCAUUAAUAAACGCGGUCCAAUCUUCCCCAAUAAAAGCAAUCAUUAUUAUAACUCUUUUUUCCAAAUUAACCUCUAUUCCUUCUUUGCUUUCUUACUUUUUCCUUUCUAUUCAAUCCAUUCCCCAAAUUUGAGUCUUAAAUCACUUAUUCUAGAAAAUUUCUCUUUGAGAAUGCGUUUUGCAACAAAAUAUAAAGGUUCUUCAAUUCUAAAUCUACAUGCCACUCAAGUUCACUCAAUGGAAAAUUCAACCUUAGAUAAAGAGCUUAGCUUGUUUCAAAAACAUGUAACUGAUAGGUUCAAUGAGCUAUCUUUAGUUUCAAAUGAUAAUUUGUUAUCUCUUUCUUGGGUUAGUAAGCUUCUUGACACAUUCCUUUGUUGCCAAGAGGAAUUCAAGAUGAUUCUACACAACCAUAGAUCAAUGGUUUGUAAACCUCCGUUGGAUCGAUUGGUGAAUGAUUUUUAUGAGAGGAGUGUCAAGGCAUUGGAAGUAUGCAAUGCUAUUAGAGACGGUGUUGAACAAAUUCGACAAUGGGAAAAAUCGUUAGAGAUUGUUCUUUGUGCAUUGGAUCAUAAAAGAAUCAUUGGGGAAGGCCAAUUUCGUCGCGCUAAGAAAGCUCUUGUUGAUUUAGAAAUUGGUAUGAUUGAUGCUAGUAGUAAAGAUUCUAAUAAUGUUUCUUCCUUUGGUAAUAGAAAUAGAUCAUUUGGUAGAAACAAUGUUAAUGGAGAUAAAGGGUCAUCUCAAGUUGGCAUUUUAGAUCACUUUCUUGGAGUGUAUCAAGGAAUUGGUCAGCUGCAAAACAACUACAAGCAAUAGGGACCCAUCUUUGUUUUCCUAAGAGUAAUGAACUUGUUGCUACAAAUGGUCUUGCAUCGACUAUUUAUACAAUGAGUUCAAUUUUGUUGUUUACAAUGUGGUCACUUGUGGCUGCAUUUCCUUGUCAAGAUAGGGAAUUGAAUCUAAAUUUUUCGGUUCCACGGCAACUUCAAUGGGCGGCUCCGGUGAUAUCAUUGCACGUGCGGAUGUUGGGGAAGUCGAAGAAGAGGGAGAUGAAGAGUUGUUGCGGACUUUUGAGGGAGAUUCAGGAGAUUGAGAAGUGUGCUAGGGGGAUGAAUGAAUUGGCUGAUUCUGUGGAAUUUCCUUUGAGUGAAGAGAAAGAAGAGGAACUUAGGGUUAAAGUUGCAGAUGUGGUGAUUGUUUGUGAAAGUUUGAAAGAUGGAUUGGAUCCUUUCGUAAUACAAGUCAGAGAAGUGUUUCAUAGAAUUGUUCGUGGUAGAAUGGAAGGGCUUGAUUGUCUUUGCUUGAGAGUAAUAAAAACAUUAGAUUUAGAUGCCAUAAUCUUGAUGGAAUAACCAUAAAAGAUAUAGUUAUGUAAAAAAAAACCUUAACAUACAUAAAUUGUAUAGAGUUUGUAACCCAAAAAAAAAAAAAAAUAGGUAUAGAGUUUAGGUUUGGAAUUAGGCCUUCGUGGUCUAUGAUCUUUGAUUUUGUCCCUUAGUUUAUUGUCUCAUGAUCUUGGUUACUGGAUAAUCAAUUUUCUAUGUGCAUUUGUUAAUAUUCAGUUUCUUACGUGUAGUUUUAUUUAUGCAUCUUAAUAGCAUAUCCAUAUUUUAUGUGGGGUUGAGACAUGAUUUAUACUAGAAGCAAUUACAUUAACCUCCCUCCCAUAUAUUUUUUAAAGUGGGACGAGCAACAUUCAAGCUGGGUUCCGUUUGGUUCGAGCGUUUUGGAGGGGAGGGGAGGAGAGAUUUUUAAUUUCAAGUGUUUGGUUCAACUUUUAGAAAGGGAGGGGAGGGGAGAGAGGAUGUGAGCAAAUUUUAUUGCAUCGCCAAUCAGUAGUUCAAAUAGGAGAGAUUCAAUUACAUAACAGGGGGUACAACUGAGUUAACCAAAAUAAAAACUAAAGAGAAAUUGUCCAAAUAACAAUAUAAAAACUACAAAAUAAAGGUGUUGAAACAAAAUAAGGCGGAACAUAAAAGUGAGUUGAACCAUCAGUAGUUCACUCAACCCAUCUGAUCACGGUCAAUCCAACUAUUGGGGUUGCCGGUAUCCAUCUGUUCAGUUCCAUGUAGGACUCCUCACCAAAAUGUGACCUAGACCUAGCCUCAUCUGCAUUAAAAUCCUUGGAGAUCUCCCACUCUGCACAACGUGAGAAGCAACUCUUCCCACUGCUCGUCAGUCCAAUCCUUGCCCUCAUCCUUCCGCCUCUGAACAUUGUAACAACUCGAUUUUUAGUUAGAUUUAUUUUAAUUAUUUUAAUUAUGUGUUUAUAUGUGUUUGUGUGUGAUUAUCCAUCAUUGGGUGCAUUUUCAUGGGUUUCCAUGUUAGAAGGGUAUUUUAGUCAUUUUGGACUUAGGGGUAUUUUGGUCAUUUUGUAAGGACAGAUAAAAUUAUAAGUUUUGGCGAGAGUUACUCUUAGUGGUUAGUGAGAAUAGUUAUUUUACUAAGUUACUAGGGUAAAACUAAGAUUUUACCAUUUAGUGACCGUUAGUGACAUUUCACCAUUAUUAGUGAAUUACCGGUUAGAGUGUUGAAACAUUUGAGGUGUGAAUAGAAAUGGGUUAAGUCCAUUAAGUUGAGAGUUAUGCCCAAUUGUGAGACACACUAUAACAUACUCUUAUGAGAAAUUUUCACACACUUCCAUUACACUAAGAUAUUUUGGAGAGAAUAGAGAGAGAAAGUGGGAACAAGAGGAGAAAAGGGUUAGAGAGAAGAGGACUUGAAGAAUCAAGGACUUGGGGAGAGCUAGGAGCAAAAUUUAAGCCUAAGCUAGGGAGAUUAACCUACUAAGGUAAGGGGGUUAGAAUUUAUCAUAAUCACUUAUUGUAAUUUUCAAUUAUGUUUGUAUGAAAAGUGCUAAAUUGGGUGAAUUGAUUAAUUGUUCAUAAGUGAUGAAAUUCGUGCUUUAAUUAUGAUGACAUGUUUAGAUGUAUGAAGUUAUGAAUGAUUGAAUUGUUGUUAGUUGAAUUGUAUGUUGAAGUAUGAAAAAUGGGUAUGAGUUGGAAAUAUGCUCAAUUGGUGAAUUAUGCAUUGUUGUUGAUGAAUUGUGAUAAGUUUCAAGAUCAAUUGUUGUUGCUGAUGUUAAGUCAUGUUGUUGAUGAUAAUUCGUGGCUUGGGUUGCAUGAUUCUUGAUUUUGUUAUGGAGAAAUGAGAUGUUGUUGGUGUUUUGAUGAAAAUUGUGAAUUGGUUCAUUUGUCAAGUGUUUUCAAGUUUGAUUGAGUCUUGGUGAGUCUUUUUAGUCAUAUUGACCUAUAAACAUGUCCUGGAAACACCUUUUGGCAAUCAAAAUUGGGGAUUUGGAGUGAAAAGGGGUUCAAACCCGUAACAUUUUCUGCAAACCUGUGAAGGUUCGCUUAGAGGUUCGCUUAAGCGACCUGGUAAGAGAACAUACAUAGUGAUUUUCUAGGUUGGAUCGCUUAAGCGACCGGUGAGCGAGCUGGCAAGCAAACCUUACUGGUAGCUACUGGAACUCGUUCGCUUAAACGAACCAGGUGGUCGCUUAAGCGAAGUGAUGAGCGACCAGUAAGCGAACUUUCAAUUGGCUACUGUAACUCGUUCGCUUAAGCGAACCAGGUGGUCGCUUAAGCGAACCUGUUCCAUUUCAGCCACUUUAAUCUUUUGUUCCGGAUCUUUGGGGGCCAAUCUAAGCUUUCUUAGAUGAUUCUUUAAACAUGUUUAACUAUUAUUAAUCCCCUAAAACCUACUGGAACAAUGAUUAGCUUGCAUAACUAGAAUUUCUUCAUUUGAGUCUUAACUUGGGAAAUUUUGGGAAUUUUGAACUUUGUCGAAAACAAGUUUUGUAAACAAAUGAAGCUUGCAAGUUGAACCUACAACUCAUAUAGACUUAGGUAAGACUUGUAAGAGUGGUCAAACAUCUUAAUCAUGUAAAAGUGAUUUUCGGGUGGGAAUGUGAAAGGUUGUGAAAAUGGGGUUUUAUAUGAACUUAAGUUAUUCUCGGGUUGAUGACUAAUGAUCCGGAGGUAGCCUAAGUUCAUGAUUAUAUUUUCGAUUAAGAUUGUUUGAAGGUUAUUCCACUUGUCUAUGUCGUUUUACUUUGGAAUUUGUCAAUGUUGGUCGGUGACCACUUGAUAUAGUUUUGGUCGGAAAUGUUUCUUAAACCAAUUGUCUUAUGAAUUGUUAUGAUAUUCCUAUAUGACUAAGUGAAGUUGUAUGAAUGAAUGAUUGUAUUGGGAUGAGUAUGCUAUCUUACUUAGGAUGUAAGAAAUGCUUGAAUUGGUGAAACCACAUGUGGUAAUUGAUGUUGAGUGACAUUUGUUGAUUUUGAGAAUCAUGUUGACAUGAGAUGAUGAAUACUAUGAAUUAAUUGUGUAUGGGCAUGUUUUCUUGAUAAUGCAAUGUUGUGGAGGUAAUCAAUAUAAUUGGAUAUAGACCUAUAUAUUGAGGUGAAAAUUAUGGAUUGUAGUCGCAUUAUCGAGUCCUUGUACAUGUCCAUGCAUCAUAGUAGUGUUGAGAUUUUAUAUGAUGUUUUAUUCAUAUUUUGGUUUCGGCCUAGCAGAGAUCUGUUGAGAUCUAGUUGUGGACUUCGGUCUUGCAGAGAUCCUUAGUGAUCUAGAUUUGUGGGCUUCGGCCUUGCAGAGACCUUUGACGGUCUAGAUUUAGGUGACGACCUUGAGAUGAUAUGGUACCACAUGCAUAUUUGUGUCGGUCUAUAUACACAUCAUGCAUGAGUCUUAUCGAUUGAAUGUGACAGGUGAUUGUGUAUGAAUAAUUGUGAAUUGAUAUUUGUUCAUGACACAUGUGAUUGGUGAAUAUUAAUGUGAGAUAUUGGGGUUGAUGUAAGUAUAUUUUUUAGAAUAUUAUUAUUGAUCAAAUGCUUGAUGUUAAAUUGAAAUAUUCAUGUUAACUGUAUUUGGAUUAUGAUGAUGUAAUACUUACCCCAGUGGUUUUAACCGUUUACCUGUCUGUAUGGAUGGGUAGACGUUGUGCAGGAGUAGUGCUUGGUGAGUUUUGUGCUUGGUGGAUAUCGGGAGUUUUCUCCGAUAUCGGUGUUUACUGUUUAGUCGGCUCUGAUCUAGGCUUCGUUGUGUCGGUCUAGAUUAUCUUUUAUUUUGGACUUGUUUAUAUUUGGAGAUUACCCGUGUGUUGGGAUUUUUCAGAUGCAUCUAUGUUGAUGUAAUUAUUGAUUCAUAACAUGUAUUUUUGGAUUACUCUGAUUUAUAUUCCGCUGCGACUGUUGAGGUUUACAUACAUGUUUAUGGUUUUUGAAUUUUGAAUGUGGCGUAGCCUCUAUUUCUUGAAUAAAUGCAUUAUUCGCAUGUUUAAUUGCUUUAAUAGAAAUAGGAGUGUUACAAACAUCACAUUGUUCAGGGGGAGUUAACUCUAGCAAACUAUUAAUAGACUCAGGGAUAUAAUUGAUAGAUAUUUGGCAAGUGAACCAAAUUCGAUCGAAGUAAUAAAAAGUUCGUUUCCACGAGGACUAUAUUUAACUUCUACUUAGCAAUUUCAUUAUUAAAAAGGAUGUAUAAAUUUAUAUUGGUGCCCUAGGCAGUUGAGUUGAUUUAGUAACAUAAACUGAUUAAAAACAAUAAAGAAUUGGUUUUUCAGAAAAUUGAGAGAAGUAUGGUUAAGUCCUUCGAAUCCUCCAAAGCUCUCCUAUGGUAAUUUGCACUCCUAAAUAUGAUCAAUGAUUAUUUAGUUUCACGACGGAUUAACUUAGUAAUUCUACCCAAUCUCUUGACCUAGAAUUCUCCCCGCAAGUGACAACCCCUUAAUCUCUUAAGUGAAUUCGAAACCAUUGGAGGUAUUAACGAACGUUAAUCCCUAUAUCAUAACCUAAUAAUGAUCUAUCUCUAACUUGAUUACUUAGGUUAAACCUAUUACCUAAUUCAGAGUUAAGAGCCAGGGUUAGUGGUCAUUCAAUUUCUAUGAUCAAUAUGCAUAUUCAUAACGCUAGGGUUAAUAGUCUAUCAUAAACGUACAUAAGGCAUUAAGCACAAAGUAAUAUGAAUAAAAACUAAACUUUCAUUUAUGUUCAAAGGAGUUCAACAAAUUAGGGUUCCCAUAGGAUUACAUCAGAUUCAUCUCAGGAAUUAACCACAAAAGAAUUAGUUACUCAUAGCUAACGUAUAAGCUAACUAACACAAGAAAAAGGAUUCAUACAUGUGAAGGAUGAUUGACUCUUAGUUUUGAUGGUUUCCAACCAGAUCUCCAAGUCUCUGCUCCAAAAUAUGCCUUUAGGUCUCAAAAUUCGUGAACCCUUCUUCAGAAAACGCCUCUUACUAUUUAUAGGCUAAUGAAAAUCGGCCACCGAGCUCCGAAAUCGGUGGCCGAAAUCCCAAACUGCGUGCCCCAAUAGUGCAGAAUCGGCGCCCGAUUUAUGCUUAUCGGCGGCCGAUUUUUGUCGAACUCAAAGUCUGUAAAUUGGCAGCAAAGCCGAUUUAUCUAAUCGGUGGCCGAUUUCAAUACUUCAAACUUCAUUUUCUUUGUCUUUUUUGGCUUGCAGCUUCAUGAAUUCCAAUAAGAAACCCCCUAAAAUUACAUGAAAAAUGCCUACUAAAAGAGUAAUGACAGAAUGUCAUCAAUAAUCAAUCAAAUUGCCCCUCGCAUAAGACUCGUACUUCUUUCUCGAGAAUCAAGCAUUUGCAUAAAACUCCAAAGUGAGUGUGUUGUGCACUUGCUCGAACACCAUUCCAUUCAGCAAAUCUCAUCCCUGUGUCCUUAUUGAGGCCUCAAACUCAGGGUUUCUCACAAGUUUUAGAAGGUCAAAGACCCUAUCUUGAAUCACCUAGUAUGACUUGGUGUUCUUGAAACGGUCCUUGGCAUGGUUGUUCGAGAAUCUGCCGGUAACAGAUGGUGGUGGUUUGUGUAACACCCCGUUUUCCCAACUUAAAAAUUUCAUAACAUUUAUCAGAGUAUUCAACACAUAAACAGAAUGCUACACUUCUUAAAAAUCAUAAAUGAGAUAAAUAACAAUUUAUCCUUCAACAUAAAUUAUCCAAAACUUCGCAGCGGAUUUAAUAUAACAUCAUAAAUAGUCUUGGCACGUAGGCCUCAUCAAAACAUCUCAUAAAAUUCAAUUAACAACUUAAUCAUAAGAAUUCAUAGUCAAAUACGUAAGGAAUAGAAAAUAUCCACAAAAGAUCUCAUCCCGUUACGUAUCAGAGCACCUAAAAGACUCAGUGAGGGAUAGCCACUCACGACAGCAAACAACAGCAACCUACUCUUGAUCACCUGCAAGUUACUCAUACAAAUAGCAACAUUUCCAAGCAAAAGGGGUGAGAUUUCACAAAACAAUAAUAUUAAACAAUAUAAUUCAAAAAUUAUAUUUAACAACAUGAAAACAUCAUAAUAUCAUCAUAGAUAAAUAUAUAUCAUAUUACUUCAUCAACAGCUCAUAUAAAGAAUCACAACUUAACAUCUUAACAACUUAACAACUCUGACUUGACAAUGCGACUUCAACUUGACUAUGCAACUUAAACCUCUUAUAUGCAUGUGGUACCAAUCCAAGACAACAAGCCCUCAAUGUAUUAAGUAUUAAUAUACUUCCAAGGCAUCAAGCCCCUAACUUAAUUGAGCUAAAGCUCUAGGGCAUCAAGCCCCCAACGUAGUGAGCAACGACUCCAGGGCAUCAAGCCCCCAACAAUGAAUGCUAAUGCAUGGACUCAACAAUUCAACCUCUUAUAAACAACGACCUCUUAUAUACUUCCAAUAAUUUGGUGUUUCUGAAUACCCAUUUUGUUCCAAUAAUGUUCUUCUGAAAAGGUUUGGGUACAAGAUCCCACACAUCAUUCCUUUGAAACUGAUUUAGCUCUUCUUCCACCAUGGAUACACAUGCUGCCACCAUCAAAACCUAACCUUUCAAAAAUUUCCGAACAGAGAGAAGGAGAGGGAGGCUCGGCUAUGGCAGAGGGAAAGUGUGAAUUAACCUGGUUGAUUGUAUGCAAUAGGUCCAAGAAUCAAGAUUAUGCACUUGCAUGUUGGUUUAGUUGGAAAAUUUGGCAGAGUAACUUUACCUAUGGAAGUUGUGAUAAUAGGUGGAAUGAAGGUUUUAUUUAUAGGCUGGUUAUAUGGUGACACGGUUGUGUGUAAUCGUGUCUCGAUUUGGUUUGUAACGGUCAGAUUUUUGAAAAACCACCAAAUCGUGACACGAUUGGGUAUCAUGGUGUCCCAAUUGCUCAAGAUUGCCAAUUUUGAAAAAUUUUAAGUUCCAGAAAUCAUGACACAAAUUGGCCAUUGUGUCCCGAUUUUACAAUGUCGUGAGGACAACUUUUUGGACUUAGAAAAAAAUUAAGAGCUUCAGAGGGAGGCAAAAUCGUGUCACGAUGUACCCAAAUCGUGUCACGAUUUUGUAAGAAAAUUUUCUUUCAUCUCUUUUUGUUUCCGCUAAAAGUAUAUAUUUUUUAUACUGAAAUUUAAUAAAAAUAAAGCAAUACCUGAAAGUAAAAAUGGUGGGUUGCCUCCCACCAAACGCUUUCUUUUACGUCAUUGAGUUUGACGCUUCAACCACUAUUAGGGUGGCAAAAAUGAUAGAAAGAAUAUAUGACCCUUCUUCUUCCUCUUGUUUGGCAGGAAUUCCACUUGGCAUAAAGAAUCAGAUACUCACAUGCAUUCAUUGUUAAUCCUUUGGAAUUUAAGUUAUCACACCUUAGAAAAGGACAUGCAUCCAUUUUCACAUGAAUGAUUUCUUUAACUGUCGUUGGUUUAGACUUUGGGAAAAAAUCAACAUUCCUCACUCGGUCUCCAUCUGAACCAACUUUUUUUUAGACUCGUAUGAUUUCUCAACAAGAUCACUACAAUAAGCAUCAAACUUCUCAAAUGAAACUUGAUUUGACAUCAAGAAAUCAUCUAAAAUAUUUUGAAGUUGUUAUUGUAAUUGAUGUUGAUCACCUAUUUCUUCCCUUCACAAUCACUACCUGAUUGAUUUGCCUCAUAAUGAUCACAUAUCGCAUUUAAUAUUGAAAUUUUAUCGUCCCAAUGCGGUAUCUUGCGAGAUAACAAAUAUUUUUCAUACAACACCGUAGCAAUAUCUUCUGUGUCAUAAAGGCAGAACCUGUCUAUCAUAGCUGCAAAACUUGGAUAAACUUUUUGGUAGCAAAGAACAAUGAGAUACACAUGAAGAGCAUAAAUCAUAAUAUUUUUUUUUUAAUAUAUAAACAAAAAUAUAAAUGACAGAAAUCCUAAAUUAUAGCGCAACUGCCUUGUUCAAAUAAUUCAAAAGUCCCCGGCAGCGGCGCCAUAAACUUGAUAGAAAUUUAGCAAGUGUACUAAAAACCAUCGAAGUAAUGCAAUUAAAUUUGUUUCCACGAGGACCGUGUUAAUCUCAAGUAAACAAUAGCGUUAUGAAAUAGGAUGUUUAAUGUUUAUUUUAGUGCCCGAGGUAGUAGGUUUGUUUUGCAUAACAAGUAAAUAGCAGAAAAUAAAGUUGUUUAUAAAAUAUAGAGAGAGAUGAGAGUAGGUCUUUUGAAUCCUCUAAGUUCCCCUAAUUGGUACACUGCACCUAUUUCUCAUGAAUAUUUCUCUAGUUUUACGAUGAUUAACUAAAAUAGCCCUAAUCAAUCCCUUGACUUAGGACCCUCUUCUCAGAUUAUAGUCCCUAACUCCUUAAGUGAUCUAAUAUUCUUAGAAGAUUUGAAGAACAUUAACCUAAUAUCACAAAUAAACGAUUAUCCAUUCCUAGACUAACGAUGUUUAUUUGAACAAUUCAAUUAGGUCUAAGUUGAAAGUUAUGAUCAGUAGUCAUUCAUUCUUACGAAAUCAUGUUUAUAUUUGAUCAAGAUAUAAAAAGCAUUAAGAAAUAUUGAAUUGAAUAAAACUAGAUUGAUAUUCACAAUAAUAGAGCUUCACAACAACAUGGUUCAAUUAGGGUUACAUCAGAAUCAUCUCAGACCUAUCCUCUAAGAGAUUUAGCUACACAUGGUAACUAAGAAACAAGAUAUAAAAGAUAAAAAGAUACCCUAGAAAAUCAAAGAGAAGAUAGAUUCUCUCCGGAAGCUCCAAAGUAGCUUUCCUCUUGAACUACUUUAGUUUUGAACUAGAAAUUCUGAAUGAAGAAGGCUGAUAUUUAUAGUGAAAGUUUCUACCUAGGUUUAGGCUAAAAGUGCGGGAUUUACCCAAAAAUAAUAACAGGAAAGGACCAAUGUGCCCUGAGUUUUCAGAUGUGCUAGGCACAUUGGUCAUGUGCUAGGCACAAUGUUCAUGUGUUUGGAACAUUGUUCAUGUGCUAGACACAUUGGUCAUGUGCUAGGCGCAUAAGGUCUUUCCCGGGCCCAAAUUCUCCGAUUUUCCGUUAUUUUAGGUCUUCAUCUUCAAAUAACUUUCCUCAGGAAUAGGGAACAUAAUUCCUCCCUAUUGUAAGUCUUCUGAGGCCUCUUGAAUCUUCAUUCUUUUCUUCCUAAGGUCUUGACAAUUCUUCAGUUUUUCAUGCUUUUCUUGUUGUUUAAGCUUGCUUGUGAACUCCAAAUAUCAUGAAUUUACAUUAAAAAUUACGUAAUGACAAUAUGUCAUCAAAGUCCUCAAGGAGAGGAGUAAAAUUUUAGACUUAUGUUUCCAUGUAAAUUGUAAUCUUGUGUGAAUAUAGUGGAAAUAUCUGUCAAGUGUGGAGAAACAAGACAUAAUUCUGAUUUUGGGGUGAACGAGGAUAAAUAUAUGUGUCUAUCUUUUCUCCGUUUAUCUUUUGCAUCAUGUGAUAUGUUUUUCAAAGAUUGUGGAUUAAUGGUAUGUUUGGUAUCUUAUUUUUUACAUGCCUUCGAUUGUUCUAUGAAUGUAAACUCAUUCAAGUAUUUAAGAGGUUACACCCACACCUAUGGUGGGUAAACAUACGACGAUUAUAAUUUUAUUUUUUUAAAUUGUCAUCGGUUGAUCAUUGCAAUAAAAUACCACUAGAAAUUUAUAUUAUUGUUUAAAGACUUGAUAAUUAUGGUGCACUAGGUAUUAUUUUUUUUAGGAAGGUGCACUAGGUAAUUUUAGUGAAUGCUUUUUCUAUUCAUAUUUUCUUUAAACUAAUAUAGUUAACUUAUCUGCUAAUUUGAGUUAAAUUGUUAAACUUUUAGGAUUUAAACAAGAACGUUAACGUUGUUCUUGGAUCUAGAUCUUAGAUUAGGGUGGUGAAAUUUACAUUCUCUCACAAAUUUAACAUCUAAUAUCAUAAUCAAGUUUGACAUAUGAGCAUACAUCGAAUCUCAUAGAUUCCAAGAUCAUAAAGCUAAAAUUUGUUUAAGAUGACAAAAAUUUUGUCAUAUUUUCUUUGUUUAAAUUAAAGUGUUUUUAAUGCGAUAAAGCGAAAGACAAACUCUCAUUCGAGAGUUAGUUUUUCUUUAAGUUUAUUAAGUAGAGCAUGUAUUGGUUUUGAUGAUUUAUUAUAAUUUUUUUUAUUAAAUCUUUAUAUAAUACCUAUGUCCCUAUUUAUAAGAUUGUUUCACAAAAAUAUUCAUAAUUAAUUGUAGAGAAUUAAAAACCAACUAUUUAUCUCUCAUAAUAAUUAAAGAAUAAUCUUUAAAAGAGAUUGCACGUUGUUGGCAAAUUUAAUGUAAAAAUAUAUUUUUUUUUAAAUAAUUUUUUUAUCCAACCCUAAUGCCAAAAAAAUGAAACAUUUGACCCCCUUUCAAAAUUAUAUACCAAAAUGACUCACUUUGGGAAUUUUUGUUGUUUUGUCCUUUUCCCCAUUACCGCCGUUUCAUUUGGCGGUAAUGGGCUGCUUUUUCUGCGCCCGUCAGAGCCCAUCACUUCAUGUCUUUUUUUUUUAAUUUUUUUUUAUUCAUUACCGCCAUUUGGUUUGGCUGUAAUGCUUUUUUAUUCACCCUCUGACUUUGAACAAAGCUUAACCCUUCCACCAACUACAACUACAACUAAAUUUACCAAUCACCACCACAACCCACAAACCAAUUCUUACAAAACUCUCAAAUUCCAUAUCCAACCGACUCUGAACAUAGUCAUCAUGGAGAAAGCUCCCAAAUAUCAAACUAUUCAUUUGAUGACUUUUAUCCAACCUAAAACACCCCACAAAUCAGUAUCCCAAACCAACCACAAUACUCUUCUUUCAAACAAUGUACACUAUUCCCAAACAAAGUUCGUACCCCAAUGGCCACAUACCAGUACCAUAGAAAAUCUAGCUGCAGGGUUUAACGAAGAUGAUUUCGUUAAUGAAAUUUGAACGAACUCUGUUCCACAAGUGCAAAAUGAAGUCACUAUGGAAAAUAAUGAUGUUGAAAUUCAAAAUGUGGUGGCGGAAGAGGAACAACCAGAGGUAGAGGAAGAGCAAGACCAACGACCCAUACGAAGAAAAAAAGAUAAAUUAUGUGCUAUAGGAAGUCAUAAUUUAAAUUUAGGUUGGCGUAAAUGGAUACCAUGGAAAAAAUAGUUUUUAUUUUUAUUUCUAAGACUUAUGAAUAAUAUAAUUAGUGUAUUUAAAUUAAAAAUUUAAUAUUUAUUACAAUUAAUAUUUAAUUUAAAAUACAUAUAUUGUGUCCAAAAAAAAAUGAAAAAAAAAAAUCCAUUACGGCCAAAAAUCAAAUGGCUGUAAUGAAUAAAAAAAUAAAAUAAUAAAAAGACAUGAAGUGAUGGGCUCUGACGCACGCAGAAAAAGCAGCCCAUUACCGCCAAAUAAAACGGCGGUAAUGGGAAAAACAAAAAAAACUUUCCCAAAGUAGGUGAUUUUUGUAUAUAAUUUUAAAAGGGGUCAAAUGUUUCAUUUUCUUUUUUGGAAUUAGGGUCAGAAAAAAAAAUAUUUAAUUCUUGUGAUUUUAUCAAAAAGGCCUAAUAUAUAGGGCAAAGAUAAUAAAAUGUAUUGUUUUUGAUGAUUUAUUAAAUUAAUCCUAAAAAAAAGAUUUAUAGACAAAACAAUAUUAUAUAACCCUUUUUUUUCCUUUAUUAGAUAGCUUCAUCGAGUGUGCUUGUGAGCUUAGCUCAGUUUGUAAGGUCGAUGUAUAAUCUAUGCAAGGUCCGGAUUCAAACUCGACCAUCAAAAAAAGAAAAAAUAACUUCAUCGAGUAGUACCCUCAACAACUUUAAUUUAAUUAUUAUUCUUUUAAUUCUUGUGAUUUUAUCAAAAAGGUCUAAUAUAUAGGAACAAAGAUAAUAACAUGUAUUGCUUUUGAUGAUUUAUUAAAUUAAUCCUAAAAAUUGAUUUAUAGAUAAAACAAUAAUAUAUAACCCUUAUUUUUCCUUCAUUAGAUAGCUUCAUCGAGUGUUCUUGCAGGGCCGGAUUUGAAUAGGGCAUCGUGUGGCAAGUGCCACACCAAUUUUUUUUAUUUUUUUAUUAGUAUACUUUAUAGUUUUCAUAUAAUAAUACAAACAUCUUUUAUUUUUAUACAUGUGUUUAUAUUUUUAUUCAUAUAUUAAUAUAGGAAUCUAUUAUUUUUAAUAUAUACAUGUGUCCGUAUUUUUACUCGUAUAUUAGAAGGAGAUCAUUUCUUUUAAUUUUUACAUGUGUAUAUACUUUAACUUAUAAGGGAUUGAUUUUAUUUUUAAUUAAUACACAUGUCUAUAAUUUUACUCGUAUUUAAUACAUAAAUAAUGUUUUGUACAAUUUGUUCAUCUGUUAUAUUUUCAUUCAUAUAUCAAUUCAGAGAUUUUUAUUUUUAUUUUUAAUUGCUACGCAAUUGCGACUUGCUUCCAAGAAAAAAAAGAGCAACACGUUUAACAUACGUAUGCAUGGGUAUUCUGCUAGAGCAUUUUUUUUUUUUUGGUUACAAUGCUAAACAAAAACAAAAAGAAACAGAAAAACAGACAGAAAAUAAAACAGAACUAGCGCCUUAGGAAAAGCGUCCCUACUUCAUCCGCUUGUAGAAAAGGGAGAAGGUCUCUGGAGGGCUGUUGUGAAUUGUAAAAGCCUCAUUAUUCGAAGCUCCAAGCUUGGCCAAGCAAUCGGCACACUGAUUACCUUCGCGUAAAGAGUGGUGAAGGGAGUAGUUUCUCGGAUUGAGGAGAUCUUUGAUAUUCUGAAUAAGUACAGCGUAAACAUGGAACUGAUUUAACUCUUCCUUGACCAGAUUGACAGUGAGAAGGGAAUUCGAAUAGCAAGCCACUUCAUCAUAAUUUAAGCCAAUAGCUAAGGUGAUGUCGUGAUAGAGUGCUGAGAGCUCUGCGAAAAGAAUAUCUUGAGAGUGAUUAAUAUCUCCCGAGAAAGCCGAGAUGAAGCCUCCAGUGUUGUUCCGGAUAACACCGCCGUAACCUGUUCUGAUAGGAUCGCCACUGCAGCUGCCAUCUACGUUUAGGAUUAUGCAUUGGAAGUUGUUGUUAUUCCAUCGAAUGAACCUGUCCAACGUAGGUGCAGAAGGCGUGCUGUUGUAGGCUGUAUUAAUGGAUACCUUCAGACUGUCAAUGUUGCUGCAGAGCUGGGGUAAUGGUAGAGUUUCAUUACCUAGACACAUGAGAUUGCGUUGUCUCCAAAUCCACCAUAGGCCGGAUAGAAAUAAGGUUGAACAAGAAGAAGACGCACCGUCGUGUAACCAUAUGUGCACCGCAUUGGUUGAGAAGAAAUUAUGGUUGAAGAAGCCGAUUUUUUCCCAGACAACCUUUGAAAAGCGACAGUCCCGCAAGCAAUGAAACAAAGUUUCAUCAUUUUCACCGCAUCUGGUGCACAAAGGUGAAGUAACCAUGUUUCUGUGAUAUAACAAUUGUAAUGUGGGUACAGCUUCGUGACACGCUAACCAAACCAAGAAUUUGAAUUUUUCCGGCACUUUCAAUCUCCAAAUCCAGCUCCAAGAUUUACAGUUCAGAACUUCCGCUGAUUGGCGUGAGAUUAACUAACUAUAACCACUGCUAGUUGAAUAGGUUCCAUUUUUGUUUUGGGGCCAAAUGAAAGCGUCUUCAAUUGAUGGGUUGAAGUUUAAACGGAUGUUGUUAAUAACUUCUGCUAGGUUAGGUGGGAGAAUGGUGUAGAUGGAUUGUGUGUGGUUACCGUUGUUGGUGAUAACAUCUUGAACAGUGAGUUGAAUAUCAUGUAUAUCAACAUACGGAACAUGAGAACCAAGAGUGCCAAGCGCGCUCCAAUUACUGUACCAAAAAGAGGUGCUGCCUGAUCCUGCUCUCCAGACAUAUCCAUUUUUGAGUACAUUUUUAGCACGGAUUAUGGAAGACCAGUUGGGAGAGCUAUUAUGUUUAGCUGAUGCAUUGAAAAGGAAAUCCGGACCACUAGAAUAAAUAUUGGAAAGAAGAUUCACCCAAAGUUUAUCAUUUUUUUGAACCAAAUUCCAAACAAGUUUACCAAGAAAACUGGUAUUUGCUUCCCUUGCUGCUCGAAUUCCUAGACCCCCAAAUUGUUUUGGAGCAGCAAUUUUUUUCCAAUUAACGAGGUGAACGCCCCUGUUAUUGUUGCCUUUCCAAAUAAAAUUACGAGUGACUUGAUUGAUGUUGUCGCAAAUGUUUUGUGGAAGCUAAUUAAUCUGCAUAUAAUAUGUUGGGAUGGAAGAUAGUAUAGAUGAAGCGAGGGUCAAUCUGCCUGCUUUGUUGAGGAGCUUACCUUUCCAAGAAGCCAACCUAUUCUGCAUUUUUUCAAUGAUGAAAGAGAAAUCACUUCUCUUUGGACGCCCCUUGAGUAUAGGAAAACCUAGGUAUUUAUCCAAAGAUGUGGUGCUACGGAUUCCGGAGAUAGUAGUGAGCUUGUGGAUCUUGGCUUGGGGGACUCCAUUAGAGAAAAAAGAACGAGACUUUGUUAAAUUGAUUUUUAAACCAGACGCGAUGCUGAAUUCUUCAAACAAUUCUGAUACCACUUUAAAUUGGGAGCUUUUUGCCUUGGUGAAUAGAAGCACAUCAUCCGCAAAUAAAAGAUGAGAUAAAAACGGCCCGGUGUUGUUAAUACGGAUUGGCUCCCAUCUCCUUUAUGGAGAAACUUCCAAUUAACAUUAUCAAAGUCUUUUUCAAGAUCCAGUUUGAAAGCCACAUACCCUUUCUUCUUUUUGGUUUUCCUCAUGAAGUGUACUAUUUCCUGUAAAACAAUCGAAUUGUCAAUGGUGCCCCUACCAGGUAGAAAACUACUUUGAUAGGGGCCAAUGAUAACAUUAAGAAUUGGUCUGAGGUUGUGAACCAAGACUUUAGUGAUGAGUUUGUAAGCAAUAUUGCAGAGGCUAAUGGUUUAAAGUCUUUAAAAGUGAUGGGGGGUCGGUCUUGGGAAUGAGGGAAAUGAGAGUAUCAGAGAUGUUUGGAUCAAAAGUACCAGUUUGGAAAGCAGAUUGGACCAUAUGAAAAAUGUCAUCUCCAAUAAUGUGCCAAUAUUGCUUAAAAAAUAUACAUUGGAAGCCAUCUGGUCCAGGAGCUUUGUAGGGUUUCAUUGUAUGGAGGGCGGCUAGAACCUCAAUCUUGGUGACGGGCUUGGUGAGGGAAGAAGCGCCUAGUUCAUCGACAGUUGGAUGUGUGCCAAUGUUAAAGGUGCGGUUAUGAUGAGGUUGGCUUUUAGUAAAAAAAUCUUUGAAAUAUUUAUGGGCUUCAUCUUGGAGAGUGUCACAAUCUGUGGACCAAAACCCAUUUGGGAGUUGGAGGCUGUGGAUUUUGUUUUUCUUUCUGCGGAUAAUGGUUUGGGUAUGGUAGAAGGAAGUGUUUUUAUCACCAAAUUUAAACCACAUAUCUCUGGAUUUUUGAUACCAAAGCAUCUCUUCUUGAUAAAGAAUGUGAUUGUAUUCUUGCUGAAGUUCUUUUUCUAAGAGAGUGUGUCUAAGAGAAUCCAUUCUUUCAAAAUAGUUUUGAACCCCUUUCAGCCUGCUCUCCACAUGUCUUUUUCUUUUAAAAAUAUUGCCAAAGAUUUCAUGGUUAAAAAUGAUAGAAUUAUCUUUGACAAUAUUUAAAGCUGAAAUGGUAUCAUGGUUGGCAGAGUUCCAAGAGUCUCUUACCAGGCUCUCAUAGUCUUUGUGAUCAAUCCAAGCGGCUUCAAAGCGAAACGGUCUGGGUCCUCUAACCAGUGGGAGGCCACCAAAACGGAGGAGAAGGGGAUUGUGAUCAGAGUGAAGCCUACAAAGAACUUCGACAAAAGCUUCAGGGAAGUGCAUGCGCCAAUCUACAUUUUCCAUACCGCGAUCAAGUUUUUUGGAAAGAAUUCUAAGCCCAUUGAAAUUGCGAUGCCAAGUAUAGCGGGCUCCAGUUGUGGUGAUGUCAAGCAGGUUGCAAUUAUCCAUAAGAUUCGAGAACAUUGCUGCUCUAUUUUGGUGGAAGAUGCCCCCUCUCUGCUCUAUUUUGUCGAGCAUUAUUGUUUUGUGCCCCUCUGAUAUUCCAAGAGAGGAUUGAAACAUCUAGAAGUGCUUCCAUAAAAAUAAUGAAGGAAGAUAGGACACUGAUUCAAGAGAUAUUAGGUAAUCAUGUCCUCCUUAGUGUCGCUGGAGGCCUCAUGUUUUCCUUCUGAUGUUUCGUGAGCUUGCAUAGAUUGAAGAUUGUCUUGGCUACCCAUGGCUUCGUCUUCCAAAUCUUGCACAUCAAGUUCAUAAGUGCCACUGCAAUUUGCAUGCUGCUUAGGAGUAUUAAUUUGUGGGGUAGGAGUUAUGGGGUUGUUGUUAAGUGGGGGGGUAGCCGAGUCUGGUUGGCUCAAGUGGGGUGGGUCUAUAGUUGUUUUCUUAUGGUUUACUUGUGUGAGGUUAGUGACGUCAGGUAUGACCUUAUCAAGGACAGGUUUAUGAAGGCUUUUGUGAAGGCUUUUAGUUGUCUGCUGUGUUGGUCUACUAAGAAUGGCUUUAGGAGUGAUACUUAGGUUUUGAAUGAUUAUGUCAUCAUUAUCAUUGUUAUGCCUGCGCCGUUUUAGGUCAGUUGAGUUUUUUGUAUUUUGUGGGAUCACAUGGAGGCUAGGCCUUGAGGGGUAGCUGUUCGGUUUCGAUUGGUGGGCCGUGUUAGUCAGGACAGAGAAUUUGUUGGCUUUGUUUUGGCUAUCGUUUUUAGAAUGGGUUGACUGUUGGAUGUUGGCUGGUUUUUUCCUCCUAGAAACUAGGAGCCAAUCCCCAUGUAGCUCUUGUGUCCCUUCAUUAAUAGUAAUAACGCCUCCAUUAAGAAUUGAUUCAUCCUCGUUAAUGGCAUUUAUUUCAUUUCCGUUACUGUUUUGCGACAUUGAAUUGUUGGAAAUGGUGGCUGGCUCACGCUGAGAAUGGUGGCUGUUUUCUUGUUGGGUGGCGGCGGUUGGGUGGUGGUGAGGGUUGGAUGUGGCAGUUUUGGUUGGCUUGACGCUGCAGCUUCUUCCCAGAUGACCGUAGCAACCACAAUUAGUACAGAUUAAGUGUAAUCCUUUCAUACUGAAUCUUAUACCAAUGUCCGUUAAUCCAAAUUUUUCCCACUACUGGCACUGUAAGAUCCACUUCUACACAAACACGGGCGAAUUUUCCUCUUUCAACUUUUAGUGUAUUAGUGUAUACCUUUAUCGGGCGGCCAAUAGCAGAGGCCAUUGCCAGUAAGAAGCUUUCAUCAUAAUAGACUAAAUUUAGGCCAGGAAAACGUACCCAAACAACUGUCCGUUCAACUUUGGCUUUUGGUGAUGCAAAUUCUGGUGACCAGUGAGUGACAGCCAAACAAUGGUCGAAAAUCAUCCAAGGUCCUCCGGUUAUGACUUUCUCCUUAUCUCCUUAUUCUGCUAGAGCAUUUGAUUGAUCUCUUGUAACGUCUUUAUUAAAUUUAAUAUUAUUUAAUUAUUUUUUAAAAAAAAAUUUGCCCCACUGAUAUUGUUGUGAGUCCAGAUCCGCUCCUCAACACAGAAAAAGUAGCUUCAUCAAGUAGUACCCUCAACAACCUUAAUAUAAUUAUUAUUUUUUAACAGUAUCGGUAGUUAAAUUCCAUCUCUUUCUUGCCGAGUACCCGCACUCGUUAGUUAGGCUUGUUUGUAGUAGUACUUGUAAUCAUUGAUGUAUUUAUUUUCCUUUUAAAUAAUCAAACAGCCGUAAAUAAACGCGGUCCAAUCUUUCCCAAUAAAACCAAUCAUUAUUAUAACUCUUUUUUCCAAAUACACCUCUCUUCCUUCUUUGCUUUAUCACUUUUUCGUUUCUAUUCAAUCCACUGCCUAAUUUUGAGUCUUAAAAUCAUUUAUUCUAAAAAAAUUCUCUUUGAAAAUGCGUUUUGCAACAAAAUAUCAAGGUUCUUCAAUUCUGAAUCUACGUGCCACACAAGUUCACUCAAUGGAAAAUUCAACCUUAGAUAAAGAACUUAGUUUGUUUCAAAAACAUGUAACUGAUAGGUUCAAUGAGCUAUCUUUAGUUUCAAAUGAUAAUUUGUUAUCCCUUUCUUGGGUUAGUAAGCUUCUUGACACAUUCCUUUGUUGCCAAGAGGAAUUCAAGAUGAUUCUACACAACCAUAGAUCAAUGGUUUGUAAACCUCCGUUGGAUCGAUUGGUGAAUGAUUUUUAUGAGAUGAGUGUCAAGGCAUUGGAUGUAUGUAAUGCUAUUAGAGACGGUGUUGAACAAAUUCGACAAUGGGAAAAAUCGUUAGAGAUUGUUCUUUGUGCAUUGGAUAAUAAAAGAAUC
rnacentral:lncRNA from 1 species